GACGAACGCUGGCGGCGUGCUUAACACGUGCAAGUCGAACGGACAGACAGAGAGCUUGCUCUCUUGAAGUUAGUGGCGAACGGGUGAGUAACGCGUAAUCAACCUGCCCUUCAGAGGGGGAUAACAACGGGAAACCGUUGCUAAUACCGCGUACGAUUCAUGAACGGCAUCGUUUAUGAAUGAAAGGUGGCCUCUAUGUAUAAGCUAUCGCUGAAGGAGGGGAUUGCGUCUGAUUAGCUAGUUGGAGGGGUAACGGCCCACCAAGGCAAUGAUCAGUAGCCGGUCUGAGAGGAUGAACGGCCACAUUGGGACUGAGACACGGCCCAAACUCCUACGGGAGGCAGCAGUGGGGAAUCUUCCGCAAUGGACGAAAGUCUGACGGAGCAACGCCGCGUGAGUGAUGAAGGUCUUCGGAUUGUAAAGCUCUGUUAAUCGGGACGAAAGAGUUCUGCGUGAAUAAUGCAGAAAAGUGACGGUACCGGAAUAGAAAGCCACGGCUAACUACGUGCCAGCAGCCGCAGUAA
rnacentral:rRNA from 1 species